AUUUAUAUAGUUUAAAUAAAACAAUACAUUUUCAAUGUAUAAUUAAUAAAAAAAGUAUUUAUAAAUA
rnacentral:tRNA from 1 species